rnacentral:rRNA from 1 species
GAUGCCUUAGUACGGCGAGUGAAGCGGCAAAAGCUCAAAUUUGAAAUCUGGUACCUUCGGUGCCCGAGUUGUAAUUUGGAGAGGGCAACUUUGGGGCCGUUCCUUGUCUAUGUUCCUUGGAACAGGACGUCAUAGAGGGUGAGAAUCCCGUGUGGCGAGGAGUGCGGUUCUUUGUAAAGUGCCUUCGAAGAGUCGAGUUGUUUGGGAAUGCAGCUCUAAGUGGGUGGUAAAUUCCAUCUAAAGCUAAAUAUUGGCGAGAGACCGAUAGCGAACAAGUACAGUGAUGGAAAGAUGAAAAGAACUUUGAAAAGAGAGUGAAAAAGUACGUGAAAUUGUUGAAAGGGAAGGGCAUUUGAUCAGACAUGGUGUUUUGUGCCCUCUGCUCCUUGUGGGUAGGGGAAUCUCGCAUUUCACUGGGCCAGCAUCAGUUUUGGUGGCAGGAUAAAUCCAUAGGAAUGUAGCUUGCCUCGGUAAGUAUUAUAGCCUGUGGGAAUACUGCCAGCUGGGACUGAGGA